GGGCUCAUGGUCUAGUGGCUAAUUUCAAAAAGAAAUCCAUAAAUGACAACACCCUUACAAGGUGUGAAUCCCAGGUUCGAGUCCUGGUGGGCCCACCA
rnacentral:tRNA from 1 species